ACUUCAAUCUUUGAGGCAUUCAAGUUCCAGUCAAAAUGCUGAUCCUACUUACAAAGAUCCAGUGUUCUUGAAGGGGUUCCCCGAGCUCCUUAGAUAGCUUGCUUCUUCUCUCUCCAUGUAUUCAACCUG